rnacentral:rRNA from 1 species
GUGAUGGUGCUUGCACUAUCACUUAGCGGCGGACGGGUGAGUAAUGCUUAGGAAUCUGCCUAUUAGUGGGGGACAACAUUUCGAAAGGAAUGCUAAUACCGCAUACGUCCUACGGGAGAAAGCAGGGGAUCUUCGGACCUUGCGCUAAUAGAUGAGCCUAAGUCGGAUUAGCUAGUUGGUGGGGUAAAGGCCUACCAAGGCGACGAUCUGUAGCGGGUCUGAGAGGAUGAUCCGCCACACUGGGACUGAGACACGGCCCAGACUCCUACGGGAGGCAGCAGUGGGGAAUAUUGGACAAUGGGCGCAAGCCUGAUCCAGCCAUGCCGCGUGUGUGAAGAAGGCCUUAUGGUUGUAAAGCACUUUAAGCGAGGAGGAGGCUACUGAAGUUAAUACCUUCAGAUAGUGGACGUUACUCGCAGAAUAAGCACCGGCUAACUCUGUGCCAGCMGCCGCG